AGGAAAAAAAACAUACUGGAGCAUAUUUUAUAAACUGUAAGCAUGCUUAGAUUACUUAUAAAUGCUAGGAUUGAGGACUAAAUAAUUUCAACAAUCCUAAGAAUUUCUUUUAGCACCAGAAAAGGUGCUUUUAUCUAUUAUAAAUAUACUUUAAACUGUUGAAUAUUAAAUGUUUGAUAUAAGGUAAACUUAACAGAACCAGUUCUGUUGGUGUGAGUAAUGCAGCAGCUACAGAACACUGCUUUUUUAAAAAAAGAAAUGUAACCCUUACUAAUACUGUAGUUGUUAAUGGGAACGGAGGUAUGGCUUACAAAUGUGAAUCUCAGCUUUUGAUAUUAUAAAGUGCAUAUUCAGGGGUUAUAGAUACUAUUCCCAGAAUCUCAGCUUUUCAUUGUCUCAACCUGCCAUGUCAUCUGCAAGGUUUUCAACUCAGCAAGAGGAUCAGAAUUUGAAAUGCAUCAGGAGAAAGCAUUACCUGGUGAGAAUAUCUGAGCUGCCAGAGCACAAUAUCUCUAAGGCAGAAGAAAAAUUAUUGAAAAAUAAUUCCACGCAAUCCAAGAGACUUCUACCAGAGGGGAGGCAGUGCUGGAUCCGAUGGUCAGCAACAUAAGGGAGCAAGUCAGGGACUUCAAGACUGAAUGCAGCCUGGUGGAGUUUUCAGUCCUAAAGAAUAGGAGUCAGGCAAGGAUUAGAGUUUGGCACCUGAACUUUAGGAAAGUAAACUUCUAGCUGUUUAAGGAGAUGUCAGUUGGAUCCCCUGAGAGAUUGUCUUCAGGGACAAGGGAGUGAAUUGGAGCUGGCGGAUAUUUAAGGAUGUCUUCCAUAAAAUGCAAGUCGUCAUAAUUCCCAGGACCAAGAAGUUGGGCAAGCAAGGUAAGAGACUGGAAUGGCAGAGUAGGGAACUGCUGGUCACACUGAAGGGAAAUAAGCAAAUGCACAGGCAGAGGACAGGUGGCCUGGGAAGGGUGUAGAGUUGAUGUAUGGUCAUGUACUUGGCAAAGAAUAGCAGGAAGGACUUCUACAGGUAUGUAAACUUGUAGAAGAAGAAUGUCAAAGAGGGUGUGCCCUCCUGAUGAAUGAUACUGGCAAACUGGUAAAAAUGGAGAAGGCUGAGGUACUCAACAGCUUUUUCAAUUGAGUCUUCAAUGGCAGCUUCUCUUCCCAUUCCUUUCAAGUGGAUGGAUGGCAGGAUGGGGGAGCGAUGUCUUUCCCACUGUAAGAAAAGAUCCAGUACAUGACCACCUGAGAAACCUGAAUGUCCAUAAGUCUAUGGGAUCCAACGAGAUGUACUCAGAGUCCUGAGGAAGUUGGCUGCCAUUUUCUUGAGCAGGGCUAGCUGCAGACAGUGAAUAAAAGCUCCCAGAACGACA
rnacentral:lncRNA from 1 species